UACAGAGGUCUCAAGCGUUGUUCGGAUUCAUUGGGCGUAAAGGGUGCGUAGGCGGCGGGGUAAGUCGGAUGUGAAAUCCCAGGGCUCAACCCUGGAACUGCAUUCGAUACUGCCUUGCUCGAGUACUGGAGAGGAGACUGGAAUUUACGGUGUAGCAGUGAAAUGCGUAGAUAUCGUAAGGAAGACCAGUGGCGAAGGCGAGUCUCUGGACAGUUACUGACGCUGAGGCACGAAGGCCAGGGGAGCAAACGGG
rnacentral:rRNA from 1 species